GAACUUCGAGCAGCAGUAAACUUGCAUUAAAAAAGGAGUAAACACAAGUGACACAAUAAAAUGUACUUAAUACAUGAACUUGUGAACAUUGUCUACAGGAGAAGUUAAUAGAAAUAGUGGUCAAUUACAUCAUAUAAUUUGGUUCUAUACUCUUUUGUGUAUAUAUCCUGAAUGAUACCCCUUUGUGAUCAACUCUUUGUCCUCUGAAUCGAAUGGCACAGCUACUGCCCCUUGUGGAAAAAGAAAGGGUUCUGUAAUACCCAUAAAUGUAAAAGGAAAACAUCAUGUGAUGCAUCUCAACCUGCGCAAAACAAUGUAAAAACCAUACAUGCUAUCUACAUACCCUCAUUGUCUAGCAAAGCAUAAGUAGCUGAGGGACCCUAUACAAAAGAAUUGACAAUUAGUAAGAAAGAAGCAUGCCACUUUACAUGGAACAAAAAAAAUGAUUAUUAUGGUGAGCGCAGAAUAACAUGAAGUUGUCAUGUGUAGCCAACAACUGCAGCUAUCUGUAUAGGCUACUGCUACUUUACAAUCUAUAUUGACAGGAAUAUUUGUGAAGUCAUUCAAAUCUAUCUUAAGUGAAAACAUACUUAUAAGGCAUACUUAAUUCUCUCCGUUGUUCAUUUUCCUUUUGAUGUCACUUUAUUCAUAUGGCAAGUAUGAGUUUAAUCAUCAGUAGACAGAAACUUUGUGUGAAUCAAAAUACCAAGUUUAGUAUGGAAACUAUAGUUUCUCCAUAUGUCAUUAUUUCAAGACAAAGCAUGUCAUUCACACCCACUUAGAAUCAUAAUUUCCAGUAAACUUUCCAUACAGCAAUAUCAAUAAAAAGGCUUUUGUUCUUUACCUUUAAUAGAAGAGGCAACUGGCUGAGGCUGCCCUAGCAAGAGGUCAAACUGUCGAUUGCAGAGCUGAAGCGCUAUUGAAAGUAAUUACAUCACCUGCUCGAUGUACAAAAUAACCAUUAUAUCAUAUAUCAUAUUUUACGAUUAAAACAGCAAAAGGAGUAGAGAACGGCAAAAGGGAACUACACAAUUUAGUCAACAAACUAAGUUUAGAGGCGCAAAUGUAUGACGGAGCUAGCGCACGAAUUCCUUUCGCUGGUCUCGGUGUGAAUUACGUAGCCUGACAACUAAAUUUCAAAUCAUGGCAUGAUGGCAAGCAAGGAAAAGGUGCCAAUUCACCACCACUACCAAAUUCCUCCACAUCCAGCUAACUUUUAUGGCUUCAUGCCAACAUUGGCCAACUCCUUUAACAUGUAGUAGAAACAAAUGAUUUAAUUUAUAUCAGACAGUAAAAUCUUCCCUCAAGUCUGAAAGUACCACAGACCCUGAUGUAAGGAGCAGAAUAAAUUUAAACCAUCAGGCGCAUUGUAUCUAAAAUCAGGGCCAACCUCUCAAAUCUCUAUAUGGUGUUCUUGUCCUCGAGAAAUAGAAAAGCGAGUUAUAUACAAGGAAAAUGUACCAAAAGCAAGGCGAGUUAGUUGUUUCAGACAUGCAGUCCUUGCUAAACAUUUAGCCGAAAGAAGUAGAAUAACUAACCCAUCACUAAUGCUUAAGUACAGUAUCUGAUUUUUUUUCUGGCCAUGCAAACAUGUAAAUAUUUAGCAGAUAUGUAGACUAAAGUGUCAACUAAAAAACACUGACCGCAAUUGGAAGAAACAUAAUCAGUCUAGAAUAAGCAUUUGUAGCUAGAUAAAUUACUUAUUUCAAGUUGACUGCUAUUUCUUUUAGGAAGCAAAUCAUGGCAGGAAGUCAACUAUUAAAUGGCAAGAAGAUGAUUGUCCAGCAGUUUUUCCUCUGGUUGAUUUCGGGUAAAACAGAGAGGCCAUACCAGCUACACUUCCUCAUUUGUAAAUUCCCGAC
rnacentral:lncRNA from 1 species